CGGGGCGGCAAAACGUCCGCCCGGGCCCGAGGCGGGCGGAGGCAGCUGUGGUUACGUGCGGGGGGCCGGUGACGCAGUCGCGGGGCGCUGGGACGCGGCUUGCGGAGCCGGCCGGCGAGCGCAGGCCCCAGGCUCGGGCGCGGCGGCGGGACAGCACCUACCUUCCCGGCUUCGGGUCCGGGAGUGCGGGGCGCGGAGCCGCCGGAGCGCUGCCUCCCUCCUUCCUCCUCCCCUCGCCCCCGCCCCGCGGCGCGACACACAAUACUCGCCGGAAGCGGAAGCCGCGCCGAGGCUCGUGUCAGUGGAAGCUGGGGUGUCGGCGGGCGGCCGCGGCCGGGUCUAGCGGUGCCUGCGGAAGAAGGAGGAGGAGGGCUGGCGAUGAGAAGCAGCAGGGGGAAUCAAGGGCAAGAAGGGACCCAGAGGGGCAGGUGGCUGAGAUGCUGGCGUCCAGGUGACCCGAGGAAUCCUCUGGAGAUACAGGCCCGCGCAUGCGCGUGCUCGAGCGCUGAAGCCCAUUGCCCGCAGGGCGCUGGACUGGCGCCCCGGCCGGCGAGGCUGUCUAGUCCAGGCUCCAGGCCCCGGCUCUGGCCAGGCGCCGCCGCCUCCCGGUGCAGCUGAAAGUCGACGAAGAGGGCGGGGCGGGGGCGGCUUGUGGACUUCCACACUUUUCCUCUCUUCGGGCCAGUCUGGGGAGAGGGUGGCUAGCUGUGGCGGCGGCCAAUUACGUGGCGGACCUGCGGGGCUAAGCUGGCACGUCACUUCCGACUAGUGGAGUUUUUAGCCUUUUAACAUUCAAGGAUUAGGUAAAAGUCUUGCAGUGAAAAACCCGAGGACCCUUACCGCAAGUGUCUUUUGCUCCCAGCUACUGAUACUGGAUUCCACUCGUGAUUCUCCCUUUCUUAGCGCAUUCAUGAUAUAGACAUCAGUCUCUGAGCUGGAGGAGGACAAAGGCAGCGGUCCUGUGAAUUCUAUGCUCUAGCUUGGGUUAAGGGAUUUGGAAUUGCACUUGUUUCAGAGAGCUCCCUCUUUGCCCACUAGCAGGGCAUUAGCUGGUGCUGAAGACAGUGGCUGCUUGGCGAGCCUGGAUCUCCAAGUGACCCCCUCAGCAACUCCUGAUGAACAGGACUGAAGCCAAUAUUAAAGCAAGUCAACCAAAGGUUCUCUGGUGUAGACAAGACAGCAAAAGGACAGACUACCUUGUGGAACCUAGCAUUGUUCUCCUUCUGCAGCACUAAGUAACAUUUGUUCUCCGUUAAGAUCUUUGCAAACCACACACAAGAAUUGCUGGUCAUCCUGCCAAUAGAUGCUGCUCACAGAACCAAAUUUCCUGUGCUGAAUUGUCACUCAUGGGCUUGAGAGUAGGAGACUGGAGACCAAGGUGGCUAGAAUCCAGUUGGGCCUGAUGUCUCCCUGUUGAAAGGGCUCCUUGUGGAAUGAAUAGCACAUGGCUCCUGUGGUGGAUCUGAUAGUGGCAUAGCACCAAGUGAUGCAGGCCUGCCAGGGGCCACAGACACAGAAGAUGCUCCCGGGGUCCCCCAUGUACUCCAGACACACUGCAGGCCACCUCUCCCAGCAGGUUGCCAGUCAUGGGCCCCAUCAUCAUGACUUCUGUCCAAGGUACUGUGUGCAGAAAUGUGAUUGAGAUUCAAGUCAGGGCCUCUCUGCCCUUUUCCCUCCAGAAACAAAACCAAGAUAAUUUAUCCUGAACACGGUGAAAAAAGGAAGGGAGGGAGGAGAAAAAGUCCGGGUCUCACCUGGGAUUCUCUGUCUCCUGCAACAUGAAGGAUUUAGCCUGGGAGGAGGUGGUGAGAACUCUGGGAGAGAAAAAAGAAGGAAAGAAUAGUUUUACCCAUGCUGAAGUUAAUUUAAACCUUCACCUAGAGAAGCAAAAAAAAAAAACCCACACUUUCCCAUUUUGUGCCUCCCUUCCUAGAGUUUUAGCCAAAGGUUUAGCUAAGUAAUUGGUUUUACCAGCGCACUCACUCCUCCUAUCCCAAGUCUGUUUGACUCCCUCCCCAUCAUCCUCCUCACCUCUUUUCAGGCAGGGUGGGGAUAGCAGCAGGAGGAGAUUUUGGGAGCCUGGCAACUCCUGCAAGGACCGCAGGACAGCCCCUCUGUGGGGAUGCGUGGUGCCCCAUCUGCCGCCCUUCUGAAGAAUGCACUGCCUUCACUUUUUACUGUGUUAGAGUCCAUCCAGACUGUUCUAUCCAAAAAAGUUUCUUUUUCCCCCACAGGCAAUCAGGAAAUGAUUCCUUUCCCGACUGCUUCUGUCUAGUGCCUGGGAAUCUUGAGUCAAUCCCUCAGUAAGUCAGUGACUAGGGAAAUCCCUCUCUGAGCCUCCCAGUUCAUGUUGCUUAGGGAACCUGAUAUUUUCGUGAAACCUGCCUACACAUGGGCAGCCCAACAGCAGAACAAAUGGUGGUGACCAAAGUGAACAAAGAAGUAUAGUUGUGCCAGCUUCGUAGUUGCCCAUGUGGACAAGUCAGCAGGAUCAGGACACGAGGAAGAGUAAAUGUGAGACAGUCAAUGUGACUUCUGCGAUAAACAGAUUUUUAAACCCCGAAAUUUUGCAAAAUUUUGGUGAAACCUGAACUUUCUUCGUUGCAUAUACUGGCACUAUCUGUACCAUCAUACAACUGUCUCACAUUAAAGCUAUUUUUCUUGGGCACUGAUGAGUAAGGUUGGUAUAAGUUCCUCAGAUCAACAAAAACCCAUUUUCCUGUAAGUCUUACAUUUAGUAUUUAAGGAACUAAAACUUAAAUACAUUUUGUGAAAUGGUUGACACUUCACUGAUAAUGAUUUAUUGCUUGGAUUAAUAAAUUUUCCAAAAGUUGUCUUAUGUAGAAUAUGGUUUGCAACCAGCAGAACCAUUAAUCUAUACUGCAAUGAUAUGCACUAUGUAUAAUUGUUUAAAAGCCUCUACUUAAUGAUGUAAAAUGCUCUAUUUAAUUACACAUUUGGGUAAACUGUAUACUAACAUCUGAUGGCAUUUUUCCACUGUUUGUUGCUUUUUUCAAAUACUUUAUUGUACAAAGCUGUUCUUAAUAUUUUUCAAGUUUUUUUCUUUGAAUUUUGCUAAUGUUUUCCUUGAAUUAUGAGCACUGACAGAAUGUGCUUAGCACUUUUGGCUAUUCACACAGCUUUUGAGCAUGAUUUGCAUCCAAUAUUUACAUUGCUAGCAAUAAUAAGCCAUCUGUGAGUUUUGUCAAAAGUUAUUGGGGAUUUUUUAAAUUUUAGAAAUGCAAAUUAUUGUUUCUUUGAACUAACUCUUAUGCAGUUGCAAAGGCAUUUCCAGUUGUUAUAGUUUGUGUACAAUAUCAGGUGUUCCAGAUUAUGAUUCAUUAUUAAUAUCAUUGCUUCCUUGUUCCCUCUGAGGUCCAGAAGAUUCAUGUUUACAAUAUUUAGAAACAAUGUUAAAAAGGUAUCCAAAGUUUGUCACUUUAUUAUUAGUUUGUUCUUAAUAUUCUGUUUAAGUUUUUGAAUUCAUAGAUAUCAAAACGCUGCACAAUUAUGAUUUCCACAGGAAUAACAACACACUAACAAUAAGAACCAAAAACAGCAAAUAGGCUGCCUACAAGUUUUGACAAUAUUAGGAUAAUGAUAAUGACAGUUUUUCUAAAUCUCACAGUAAAGAAUGCAGCAACCCAGCAACACUGCUACCUGUGGCCUCAGGCUGCAGUGUCAGCUCUUCCCUGGGUCUCCAGCCUGCCAGUCUAACCUGAAAAUUAUGUACUUGCCAGCCCCCACAGUCACGUGAGUGAACUGGCCCAGGCUGGUCACCAGGGUCAGUUUCUCUGUGUGUCAUUAAUUCAUUCAGUCUUCAGCAGUCUCUUUGGAGCUGAGAUGUACCUACCAUCUGCCUUUUGGGUGCUUAGGGUGGAGAACCAGAAAAGUAUAACCUAGUGUGUAUCCUCAAAGAGCUAACAAUAUGGGGUGGUACCUAUAGGUCUGGAAACACUUUACUGACUCUGUGAGGCAUACCAGGAGACGUCAGAGAACAGUCCCUCCUCAAAUGCCAAAUGAGAUGCAGAAGAAAUAGUUUGCUCAAGUUCAUGGGCCAGAUAUCCCAGUGGUCAGGGAGUUUCAUGAAUGAGAUGGAACUUUGCAUGGAACCCGAGGGAUGUGUAUGAUUUGAGUAGAUGAAGAAAAUGAGACUUUCCAAGCAGCUAGAAGUUAGGGAGCAGCAAGAUGUGUGGUGGGAUUGAGCACAGUUGGUUCAGAGGAUAGACUGCAGUUUUAAUAAUUUGUAGUAAAUAUCUCCCAACUGUUUGGCACUAUUGGAGCAAGUUCUUGAAUGCCAAAUGAAGGCAUAAAUCAGUAAGAGGCAUAAUAAAAGGCUGAGCAGUGCUUGGCUUUUUACGAACUGAUCCUGAUAGGAGCAGCUGUUCAACAAAGUUGCCAGGUCACCGUUACAUAGUCCCUGCCUUCUAGGGGCUCACUGCCUACUGGGAGAGACAGUCUGAAAGUUGGUGGAGCAUGUAACUGUUGGAUGAGGAGUUUGAGCCUGUGGACUGUGGGACCCCCGAGGAGGGUGUGGCUACUCUAGGCAGAACAAUCCCACAGUUUAUUUAUAUUUAACCUUGAAAUUCAUUAGAGGAUUUUUCAGCAGAGGUUUGGUACUUGUUAAUGUUAAGGUUUGCAUUCUCUAGAACCUCAAGGAAAGCUGUACCGUGCAUAAUGUACCCUCUUAUGUUAAUGUUGUGUACUGUGAUCCUGUUUCAGGGACUUGCACUUAGGAAUCUGUUACAGUGAGCACAGAAGCAGACCUGUGGGCUCAUAGUCUUCACCCCCCACCCAUAUAUACAAGAUGAACAGAGUGGAGGUUAAACAACUUGACUAAACAACACAGUUCAUGGUAAAGCCCAAGACUGUACCUGCCCAUCCACUGCCUUUUCCAUGUAUCCUGGAACUGAGCAUAGACCUCUUCCCAGGCAGAGCUGACAGCAAGUAAAGGAGAUCAUAAUCAGGGGACCAAACAACUUUGUCUAAAGUGUGAAUGUCACCUAAGGAGAAGCUGUGAGAUCAGAAGGGUGGGGCAGAGGAGCAGACACCAUGAGAGAGAGUCCUUGGGGGUACAUCUGCCAGACUGACACUGUCUGGCCUGGGCAGUGGAGGGGCUAGCAGGAACCACAGGUACUGGUGGUGUGGCUACUACCGUUACAACUGCCUGUGCUUGGACAUGGACCCUCUGCAAUAUGCGGCAGUUUCAUUCAUUGCCCCCUACAUUCUACACCAAGUAGAAAUGGAAGGCAAUUGGAUACUUCACAGACAAGAUCUAAGUGGAGAAGGAAUGCGUCCUGUGGCUGCAGAGAUCCUUGGAGCUUGGAGGGGAGAGCUUGAGCCCCACUGAUGAUGACCUCCCACAGCUCGCCAACUCAGCCCUCCCUAAGUCCCCAUCGGGGGCCAAUUCUCACUCUGGGGUUGGGGGGACUCCACCAUAGCUCAUCCAUCAUAGGGAUGUUGGUAUCUACUGUGGGUUGGGUAGGGCCGAUGUGCUGAGGAUGGCUCCCCCACAAGCAAGAGAUGUGGAUUUGGGGAGCUUCCCAUCUUGUGUUGAAGGAACAUAACUCAGAAUAAUAAGAGCCAACUAUAACAAACCCACAGCCAACAUCAUACUGAAUGGGCAAAAGCUGCAGGCAUUCCCCUUGAAAAGUGGCACAGGAUAAGGAAGCCCUUUCUCACCACUCCUAUUCAAUAUAGUGUUGAAAGUCCUGAUCACAGCAGUCAGGCAACAGAAAUAAUAAAGGGCAUCCAAAUAGGAAGAGAGGAAGUCAAACUAUCCUUGUUUGCAGACAGUAUGAUUCUAUAUCUAGAAAACCCCAUAGCCUCAGCCCAAAAGGUCCUUCAUCUGAUAAUUUCAGCAAAGUUUCAGGAGACAAAAUCAGUGUACAAAAAUCACUAACAUUCCUAUACACAGUCGCCAAGCCAAGAGCCAAAUCAGGAGCACAAUCCCAUUCAUAAUUGCCACAAAAAAGAAUAAAAUACCCAGGAAUGCAGCUAACCAAGGAAGUAAAGGAUCUCUACAAUGAGAAUCACAAACGCUGCUCAAAGAAAUCAGAGAUGACACAAACAAAUGGAAAAACUUUCCAUGCUCAUGGCUAGGAAGAAUCAAUAUCAUUAAAGUGGCCAUACUACCCAAAGCAAUUUAUAGAUUCAAUGCUAUUCCUAUCAAACUAUCAAUUACAUUUUUCACAGAACUAGAAAAAACUUAAAAUUCAUAUGGAACCAAAAAGCCUGAGUAGUCAAGGCAAUCCUAAACAAAAAGAACAAAGGUGGAGGCAUCACAUUACCUAACUUCAAACUACAGGGCUACCAUGACCAAAACAGCAUGGUACUGGUACAAAAGCAGACACACAGACCAGUGGGACAGAAUAGAGAGCCCAAAAAUAAGGCCACAAACCUACAGCCAUCUGAUCUUCAACAAAGUUGACAAAAACAAGCAAUGGGGAAAGGUCUCCCUAUUCAAUAAAUGGUGCUGGGAUAACUGGCUGGCCAUAUGCAGAAGAUCGUAACUGGACCCCUUUUACUAUGUACAAAAAUUAAGAUGGUUUAAAGAGUUAAAACCCAAAAUUAUAAAAAUCCUGAAGAUAACUUAGGCAAUACCAUUCUGGACAUAGGAACUGGCAAAUAUUUCAUGAUGAAGACACCAAAAGCAAUUGUAACAAAAGCAAAAAUGGACAAAUUGGAUUUAAGAGCUUUUUCAUAGCAAAAUAAACAACAGGGCAGACAAUCUACCAAAUGACAGAAAAUUUUUGCAAACUAUGCAUCUGACAAGGGGCUAAUAUCUAGCAUCUAUAAGGAAUUUAAACACAGUUACAGG
rnacentral:lncRNA from 1 species